rnacentral:misc_RNA from 1 species
GAAAUGCGAUAAGUAAUGUGAAUUGCAGAAUUCAGUGAAUCAUCGAAUCUUUGAACGCACCUUGCGCUCCUUGGUAUUCCUUGGAGCAUGCCUGUUUGAGUAUCAUGAAAUCUUCAAAGUAAAUCUUUUGUUAACUCAAUUGGUUUCUACUUUGGUAUUGGAGGUCUUUGCAGUUUCACACCUGCUCCUCUUUGUUCAUUAGCUGGAUCUCAGUGUUAUGCUUGGUUCCACUCGGCGUGAUAAGUUAUCUAUCGCUGAGGACACUGUAAAAGGUGGUCAAGGUAAAUGCAGAUGAACCGCUUCUAAUAGUCCAUUGACUUGGACAAUACUUUUAUGAUCUGAUCUCAAAUCAGGUAGGACUACCCGCUGAACUUAAGC